GUAAUUUGUCACCUGGAUUUUUUGGCUCUUAUGAAGAUAUUUUUGUGCAUGGAUAAGUUGUUCAAAUCAAUCUUUCUGCAAAGGACCAGCACUGGAAAAUCCUAUUCUACAAUCUUGCUGACACCAUCCUUCAAAGUCUUCAGUUAUUUAGAAUCUUUCCAUUCCUCCUGGAAGAAAAUGGAUAAACUUUCCCUUUAACCUCUGAAGUUUCACUGAAAAGUUAACUUACAAAGGAAGAAAAUCCCAGGACUCAGCCAGGGAAAAGCAGACUUCUCCAGGGCUUCCUUUCUGCUGAAAGCUGCAGACGGUUGGGUUGACCAGCUGCAGAGAGGAGCUACCCUCUCUUCUGAAAGCUAAACACUCUGCAGGAUGACCUGCCUGGAGGGGAGGCCCCCACUCCAGG
rnacentral:lncRNA from 1 species